GACGAACCGUGCGAACGUUGUUCGGAAUCACUGGGCUUAAAGGGCGCGUAGGCGGACCACCAAGUCCGGGGUGAAAUCCUUCGGCUUAACCGGAGAAUUGCCUGGGAUACUGGUGGUCUUGAGGGAGGUAGGGGCACGCGGAACUUCCGGUGGAGCGGUGAAAUGCGUUGAUAUCGGAAGGAACACCGGUGGCGAAGGCGGCAUCCUGGACCGGUAUUGACGCUGAGGCGCGAAAGCCAGGGGAGCAAACGGG
rnacentral:rRNA from 1 species